rnacentral:rRNA from 1 species
AACGAACGCUGGCGGCAUGCCUAACACAUGCAAGUCGAACGAGACCUUCGGGUCUAGUGGCGCACGGGUGCGUAACGCGUGGGAACCUGCCCUUAGGUUCGGAAUAACUCCCCGAAAGGGGUGCUAAUACCGGAUAAUGUCUUCGGACCAAAGAUUUAUCGCCUUUGGAUGGGCCCGCGUUGGAUUAGCUAGUUGGUAGGGUAAAAGCCUACCAAGGCGACGAUCCAGAGCUGGUCUGAGAGGAUGAUCAGCCACACUGGGACUGAGACACGGCCCAGACUCGUACGCGAGGGAGCAGUGGGGAAUAUUGGACGAGGGGCGAAAGCCUGAUCCAGCAAUGCCGCGUGAGUGAUGAAGGCCUUAGGGUUGUAAAGCUCUUUUAACCGGGAUGAUAAUGACAGUACCGGGAGAAUAAGCUCCGGCUAACUCCGUG